ACAACAACAAGCACUGCCUUAUUUAAAAACAUAACAGUUUUCUGCUACAUUUCAAAAAUGAAAUGCUUAUCAAAUAUAUUCGUAAUUUUGCUAACUAUUGAAGUUAUAAUCCAGACAAGAAGGUUGAAUGAUCCAGGCGCUAGACAAACUACAACUAGACCCUAUACUCCGAAAUGGGGAUUUGCAGCUCAUCAUAGCCAUGCAUCUGAAUAUCAAGGAAGACCGCAAUACGAAAUGGAUCCCAGGGAUCCAUAUUUGAUGAGAAAC
rnacentral:sRNA from 1 species